rnacentral:rRNA from 1 species
AUGUAUGAGGAGGAGGUGACCGAGAGGUUGAGACAGAAUGUAGUUAAUGCUGAAGAAGUCUGCAAGGUACUGGAAUAUAAGAGGAAGAUGGAAAAUGACCUGAGGUUCUUUAAAGUUAACUUUGCUAAAAUGGUGGCUGACAAGGAGGAUGCAAUUGCCCAGUUAGGCAAUGCACAGAUAGCUCUUAGUCACCUGAAGGAAGAGCUUGAGAAAAAUAAGUUGGUUGUCAAAGCAGACACUAACAUCCAUCAGGUGCUAAGGGCCAAAGCAGAGAAAGAGAGAGACCAAGAGAAGCUAGAGAAGGUGAAGCUGCUGCAGGAGAUGGACCAGAUCAAGCAGGAGAGGGACAAUUUGUUGGAGGAGAGGGAGAAGUUCAAGCAAGAGAAAAGGCACCUGGAGUACAUCAUAGGUGAUCUAUUCAAAGAGAAGGAGGCCACCAAGGGGAAGAUCAGGAAGAUCAAGGAGAUAGUUGAUGAAUGA